rnacentral:misc_RNA from 1 species
GAACGCAUCUUGCGCUCUCUGGUAUUCCGGAGAGCAUGUCUGUUUGAGUGUCAUGAAUUCUUCAACCCAACUGUUUCUUGUAAACAGCUGGUGUUUGGAUUCUGAGCGCUGCUGGCUUCGUGCCUAGCUCGUUCGUAAUACAUCAGCAUCCCUAAUACAAGUUUGGAUUGACUUGGCGUAAUAGACUAUUCGCUAAGGAUUCAAUGUUCUUCAUUGAGCCAACUUAAUUAAGGAAGCUUCUAAUUGAAAAGUCUACCUUUAGAUUAGAUCUCAAAUCAGGCAGGAUUACCCGCUGAACUUAAG